UGAUAGAGUGAGACUCCAAGAAAAAAAAAAAAGGAUGGCUGAGUAGGCCUGGAGGUGGUAUGUUCAAAAAAAGGACAUGGAUUCUGGAACCAAUGGGUCAGAGUGUUGUGAGGAGAUUGCCGGACUCCUGACGGGGAUGCUGCCGUGUUUUCUGCCGGGCCAGGUGUGAAAAUCUAUUCAUCCAGGAAACAGUAUGUGUCAAGUUACAUCAGUGCACAAAAGAGGCUCAUGAAAAGAAACAGCUGCACCGAUACCAGCAGGAGCUGCUGCAGCUACAGAUUUUAGGCAUGCACCUGCAUGGAGUUGGGUGACUGGAGAUUUUUCAGGGAAGCGAAUAUCAUGAAACAUCAGGACUCUAAAGCCAGAUGAAUGGAUGGCUCCGGGGGUGGCAAACAGGAUACCCCACUGCUCACCUGGAGGUCACAGGAUCACACCUGACUUGAAUUAGUCAAAAGAAUUCCAGGAUGAGGGCUAGUUGGUGGUUUAUGAAUGAAAUGAUUAGCUGGCUAUAACAGUUCCUAAUAAACAGAUUGUCCAUGUCAA
rnacentral:lncRNA from 1 species